ACUAAAUAGAUACCCGGGUAGUCCACGCCCUAAACGAUGUCUACUAGUUGUUGGUGGAGUAAAAUCCAUGAGUAAACGCAGCUAAACGCGUGAAGUAGACCGCCUGGGGAGUACGGUCGCAAGAUUAAAACUCAAAGGAAUUGACGGGGGCCCGCACAAGCGGUGGAUUAUGUGGAUUAAUUCGAUGCAACGCGAAAAACCUUACCUGGCCUUGACAUGCCACUAACGAAGCAGAGAUGCAUUAGGUGCCCGUAAGGGAAAGUGGACACAGGUGCUGCAUGGCUGCCGUCAGCUCGUGUCGUGAGAUGUUGGGUUAAGUCCCGCAACGAGCGCAACCCUUGCCAUUAAUUGCCAUCAUUUAGUUGGGCACUUUAAUGGGACUGCCGGUGACAAACCGGAGGAAGGUGGGGAUGACGUCAAGUCCUCAUGGCCCUUAUGGCCAGGGCUUCACACGUAAUACAAUGGUCGGUACAGAGAGUUGCCAACCCGCGAGGGGAGCUAAUCUCAGAAAGCCGAUCGUAGUCCGGAUUGUUCUCUGC
rnacentral:rRNA from 1 species